UGAGCGUUCCUCGGCUUGCUGCGUGAACAACCACUUUGAGUCGCUCGGCUCUGCUCAGCGCGGUGUGACAUGAAUCCCGAACUACCGAGGCAGGUAACGGACAACCGGAAUUGAGCUCCUGGACGAAAAUAAAGAGAGAAAGAGAGAGAGCGAGAAAGACACGGAGAGAGAUUGUAUAGUAACCCCCUAUUUUGACAGGAAUAUUAAAGGGAUGAUCGAGUGAUUGUAACAGCACCGGGAGGCAACUUUUAUCUCAUUUUGUUUCUGGCAUCCUUUCUUCUGCUCGGCCUCGUGGCGUUUAUGUGACGUGGACAACUCAGUGAACGGCUGCGUUUUGACCGGUCCUUCUACAACUGUUUUUUACCAAACAUACAUUGACGGCUUUCCUCAACCCUAGAGGUGGGAGGAAGGAGAGAAGAAGAGAGGGAACGAGAGGAAAAAUUGGAAGAUAGACAUCCUCCCUGGAGGUUUGGGAGAAAGGGAGAAAAAGGAGAGAGGGAAUGAGAAAGUGAGAAAAUUAAACUGAGGGGCUAAUACCAUCAUCCCUUAGGGGAGAGAGAAAAAGACAGAGAGGGAGAGAGAGCGGGAACGAGAGAGAGAGGGAACGAGAGA